AUUCCUUGUCGGGUAAGUUCCGACCUGCACGAAUGACGUAACGAUGGCCACACUGUCUCCUCCUGAGACUCAGCGAAGUUGAAAUGUUUGUGAUGAUGCAAUCUCCCCGCGGAAAGACGGAAAGACCCCAUGAACCUUUACUGUAGCUUUGUAUUGGACUUUGAACAGAUCUGUGUAGGAUAGGUGGGAGGCUUUGAAGUGAGGAUGCUAGUUCUCAUGGAGCCAACGUUGAAAUACCACCCUGGUGUGUUUGAGGUUCUAACCUUGGUCCAUGAUCUGGAUCGGGGACAGUGCAUGGUAGGCAGUUUGACUGGGGCGGUCUCCUCCCAAAGCGUAACGGAGGAGUUCGAAGGUACGCUAGUUACGGUCGGACAUCGUGACGAUAGUGCAAUGGCAUAAGCGUGCUUAACUGCGAGACUGACAAGUCGAGCAGAUGCGAAAGCAGGACAUAGUGAUCCGGUGGUUCUGUAUGGAAGGGCCAUCGCUCAACGGAUAAAAGGUACUCUGGGGAUAACAGGCUGAUA
rnacentral:rRNA from 1 species